CCAUGACAGCCAAAGAAGCUGAGAGGCAGGAUAACGUCCAUCAUCCAUCAAUGGCUUAACCCACUGAUUAGGUCAGAGUUCUCUCAAGGACUGGGACUACUAGUGAGGGCAAGCAAGCCUUUAGCCCUUGGGCAUUUGCAGGGUUGGGGAGCUUCAACCCAUAACCUGGAGGACACAGAAAGGCCCAAAGAGGACCUACACCUAUGCCAGUCCUGCAUACGGAGCCUUGCCAUGGCGUGUGGGCAUAGAUCCUGCAGUCGGUUUGUGAGAGUGCAACUUGAGAAGCUGGCCAUUGGCCUCCUGCGUAAGGAAUUCCGAGCCCAGCGGCAAUAGCCUCUGGCAGGCAUGGUCUAUGAGCAUACAGAUGUGUGAGGCUGUGACGUGGCUUCCACAGGACUGAGCAGGGAGCCUCACCUCAUAUUGACCCAUCUGGACCAGGGCUUGGCAAACAGAACAUCCCGAGCAGAGGGAUUUCAUCACAGCACCUGGAAAGUAGCUAAGAAACAUUGUCUUUUCAUCAUGGACCUCUUGAAGAAACUGGAUCAGAGUGCUAUGACUGCCCUACAAUUUGGUCUUACCGUUCACAGUGGACUCUACAAUAUUCCUCACCGAAGCUUGAUUGAAGUCUCCUG
rnacentral:lncRNA from 1 species